rnacentral:rRNA from 1 species
AUUCCAGCUCCAAUAGCGUAUAUUAAAGUUGUUGCAGUUAAAAAGCUCGUAGUUGGAUUUCUGGGAGGGUGCCAAUGUCCGUCGUCGUACGUGUUGCAGUGGCGCCCUUCCAUCCUUCUGCUAACGACUUUGGGCAUUCACUUGCCGGAGUCGGGCUCAGAUAUUUUACCUUGAGAAAAUUAGAGUGUUUCAGGCAGGCUAGGCCGGAAUACAUUAGCAUGGAAUAAUGGAAUAGGACUACGGUCUCUUUGUUGGUUUGAGGGACUGCAGUAAUGAUUAAUAGGGAUAGUUGGGGGCAUUAGUAUUUAAUUGUCAGAGGUGGAAUUCUCGGAUUUGUUAAAGACUAACUUAUGCGAAAGCAUUUGCCAAGGAUGUUUUCAUCA